rnacentral:lncRNA from 1 species
AACUUCGCCAGCGCAGAGGAGGUGCGGCCGUGGUUAACCGUCAACAACGAGAAGAAAGAUUCUGUUGAUUCUUGAUACCGACGCCUAGGAUUGCAAGAACCCACCAAUAAGGCCCAAAACCAGAACGACGCUUAGCUCAAGGUCAAGGUCAGGCCCUAUCACCAAAAUUAAAAUGAAAAGGUCACACCGAAGUGCCCAACAACAAUAAAUGGGCCAGCCUAAAAUUGGAGUUUUAUCUAUUUUUUAAAUAAAAAAUAAACGGACAAGUCCGUUUCAUAAUUACUCACAAAUUGAAAAUCAAAACCAUAGUUAUCAGAACCGAACCGGCAAUCAACCCGGUCAUAUGACUGGAUCACCGGAUCACUGGUUCAACCGGUAGGUCACUGAUUCACCCGGUUGACCCGGUCAUAAUUUAAAAAAAUACAAAUUAUAUAAAUAAGAUUAAAAUUAAGUAUUAAAACUUAAAAUGCAAGUCUUUAAAAACAUAAUAAUAAUCAAAUAUUAAUUUUUAGACAUAACUAAUGAUGCAAAAAGAGAUAAUAAACUAGUUUCUAGUACAAAAUACUUUCACCAUUUAAAUAAACAAGAACAAGCAAAAGAUACCACAAUCGAUAAAUCAAGUCCAAGUGAUCUUAAAUUCGACAUAUAUAUCUUCAUAGGACAAAUUUGGAGCUUGAUCAACAUUUUCCUCAUUUUGAUUUGCAUCUAUAUCUUCCAUAAGAAACACUGCGUUAUGCAGAACAUCAGAAACAAAGAAAGAAGAGUUUGAAGAGAGAGCUACAAGAAACUAGCAAACUAAAUUAACUUCAUCUUAUUCUUCCAUCAAUAAAUCAAUUCUACAUACCUCUUAGAGGGAUGCAAGAGCUUCAUUUAUAACAGAGUUAGAAAAGAGAGAAAGAUUAGAGAUCAGAAUAACAAACCCUAACUAACUAUACCAAACUAAUUUUGUUACUGACCAACUCUCUUAUCUCUUAUCCCUUAACAUACACCAACAAAAGAUUUAGCAUUUUUUAAGCAACACAACAAGGUUCAGUAACAAAUUCAACUCAACUCAGUUAUCCAGCAACAAAUUUUACUUUCAGCAACAACCACAUUUAUGAUAUGUUCAGCAUCAAAUUCAACUUAUAGCUGACAACAAAUUCUACUUCUAGAAUUCUAGCAACAAAUUCAGCUAUGAUAACUAUGACAACUUUCAGGCAGCAACAAAAACUUAAACUAUGAUAACUUUCAGGGAGCAACCAAAAAAAACUCCAAUUCUCCAAAUAUGAUUUACAGCAAAUUAACAUUAGCUAAUCAUAAUUUCAGCAACAAACUCAACUUUCAACAAUAAAUUCAAGAUGUACUAAUAAUUUACAGCAACGAAAUUGAAAGAGGAAUAACAAGGCAAAAGCUGAAACUCACCUGGGCAGAGAGAUGAAGCAAAACUUAACUAAGUGAUUAUUCUGCAAAACAGCACCAAAUUCAAGGUUUCAUAAACUCGGUAAUGAUUUUCGGCGAUGAACAAACUUAAGCUAAGUGAUUAUUUUGGCAUGUCAACAACAAAUUCAAGGUUCAUGAUAAUCAGUAACAAAUUUCAGCAGCACAUUCAACUUUAAGCAACAAAUUACUUUCAGCAACAAAAUCAAAGUGCAUUGAUGCAGCACCAAAAUUGAAGCAGAAAGACCAGGGGAAACUCACCAAAUCGGGUUGCACGAAGGAAGUUGAUGGCGAAGGAGAAGCUGAUGGCGAAGGGAGAAGCUGACGGCAAGGCUCGAAGCAAGAAGACGACAACGAAGGUCAGCCCACCGGGAUCUGUUGCCUCUGCUACCGGCGACGAAGAGCGCAGGGAAGGGAGAGAUCGAGACCAGGUGCGAGACAGAGACCUUGAGAAGCAAGAAGACGACGACCACCACCACCCGAGGUGAGAGACCGAGAGCGCGCGACGAGGUAAGGCCGUGAGAGACUGAGUGUGACGACCGACGAGGUGAGGGGAGCGACGAGUGAGUGACGAAGUGAAGGUGACGCCGUGAGCCACCGUGAGCCGCCGUGAGUGAUGGACUGUCGAGCUCGAGAGAGAAGAGACACAAGGCUGGCUGGGGGUUAGGGGGGUUCCAAUUCCAUUCAGAUUAGGGACAUUAGCCAUUAGGGUUCAUGCUUUCAUUUCAUGCAAAUCAACAGGGGGUGGAGGACAGGAGGAGUGAAACGACGCGCCGUUUCAGGCAUUUUUUAAAAAAAAAACAUGACCCGGACCGGGUUAAAUUAACCGGCCGGGUCACCGGUUUUAAUGAAAAACCGGUCGGGUCAAACAGGUUUUAACCGAGUCCAUUGCCUGUCCAAUUCGACGAGUGGUUUGGCCUGACCAGAUAACCGAAUGACCAGAUUUCCGGUCGAACCAGCCGGAUCGAGCCGAGUUUGACAACUAUGAUUAAAACCCAUGAACAAAUAAAUAAUAAAUGUACUAACUCAUGUAACUCGCAGACUUAGUCAAGUCGGACAUAAACGCGUUGGGCUCAUUCUAGGUGGAAAGCUUACCAUUUGGGCCUUAAUAGUUUUUAUUUGGGUAAGAAUAUAGACAACAUAUAAAAAAGUCUUUCGAUUUUCUCUCUAGGAGAAUGUUUCUCUCAAAAUAAGAAAGUUUUCUAAGAACAUAUGGUUUUUCCUAUUCACACUUAAUCAAACAUCACACAAGCACAUCUUCUGACUUAUCCAGUAUAUUAUACAAAUCCUCAGUACUUCUUCCAGCAAAAUCUAACAUUUCCUAUACAAUAUACACCAGUACACACAAUCAACAAAUACAUCCAUUCUUACACAAUAUCCACCAUUACCCACAAAUCACUAGUAUACAAAUUGCAAAACCAACAAAUACUUGGACAACAAUAUCGUAAAACCUAUUGAGUUUCAAUGGAGAACUUUGGACUUGAAUCCAUAAAAGCAAAAACAAAUUCUUUGCGGAAGACAACACAACAAGAGUUCAGGGCAGACUGCUUGAAUCUAGUUGAAAAAGUGAUCACUAACAAGGAGCUUGCUUUUAAAAUCACCAAAAACACUCUUAUCGGAGUCUGGAAAAAUCCUAAAGGGACAGACUACCAAAGACAUGGAUACAGUUUAAGUAUGAAGGAAUCUUGGAAAGUUAUUGUCUAGACUGUAGUAUUAUCGAUCAUAACAAAAAGGAGUGCAAGAAUCCAACAGUAAUAUCAACUUGGAACCCAAAGGAACCAUGAUAUUUAGCUGGUUUGGAAGUGGCACAAGCAAGAGCGUUGAAGCCAAAAGAAUACAGGGUAAGCACGAAAGAGAGUAACUCAGGGAAGAAUUAGAGAGAGGUGGCACGUGAAGAACAUGAUUGGAGGAAGGGAGGUGAGUCAACACAGGAGACAGCAGGGAAUAAAGCUGGCAGUGCAUAUGAAAAAGAAUGGGAAAUAGAAGAAGAUAGUAUAGCCGAAGCUCCUAGAAGAACUGACAAGGAAGAUCAUAAAGAUGUGAAAAAGGAGAAGAAUAUCCUAGAAGAUCUGCUUGUUAGAGAAACUGAAUCAGAAGAAGUGGAGAGAGAUGCUAAGAAUUGUGUAAAGGAGAAUAAAGAUAUUAAGGGCAGCAAAAGGAUCUACGAGAAGGGUAAAGAAAUGGGUGGGCCAAGUGUGUUAAGAGAGGAAGCUGUAAUUAAAGGUACAUGGGCUGACUUCUACCAAAGGUCCAAUGAAAAUAUUCAUCUCUUUAGAAUUGGUUCACAAGAAGAAGAUAAUAAUCUCAAUAUUGGACAACCACUUAAAAGGCUCAAUAACAACAUGGCAAAGGAGAAAAUGAAAGGAGUUACAAUAGAAAACAAUGCUAUUGAAGCCCAACAUAAUAAUAAAAGGGGUCAUAUGAUUGCAAGCGGAGACCAUUGGGUUAAAAACAGAGAGUUAAAACAGGAUAAAAAGCAGAUAUAUACAAUAGCUGAUGGGGGUGUUUAUUACGUUGAACUUGCAAAUAAAGAUGAAGAAUUAGAGCCCAACAAUAGCAAAGCAUUAGUAGUGGCUACAGAAUAUGAAAUGGAACUUGUACAAGGAAUGGAGAAAAAGCUGAAAUUGAAAAUGAAAAGGGAGGACGAGCAACAAUUGCUGAUGAGAGAUAUGUUCAGAGAGAAAGCUGCCCUACAAGUUUGGAAAGCUGGUAAAAGAAGCAAGCAAUCAUCAAGACCAGCUGGAGCAAUGCCAAUAGAGGAAGACUAGCAAGACAGAGAAGAGAUCAUAGAAGACUCAAUGGCUGAGGAGGCGGGCCUAAACAUGCCCCCAACUCAGCCAUAAGUAUCAUAAGUUGGAACUGUCGCGGGGUAGCAACCCCUGCAACAGUUUCUGAAUUACACAAAAUGUGCAAGCAAAUCAAGCCAGCUUUAGUUUUUCUUAUUGAAACAAGAGCGAAAAAAAAUCUAUUAUGGAAUUAAAGAAAAACUAUAUUUCGGGACUCAGGUUAUAAGGUGUCACAAUUACAGGCCAACAAGAGUAUGCAUUACCAAAAUUGGAGUUCGGUGCGAACCCGUCAAAGUACAAAGCUAGUUCAACAUUUCUGGGCUCGCUCGCAAAUGUAGGAUGAACCUGAUCAAAAUGCUUCCAAGCUUCUCCAUGUAAUGGAUGCAUUAUGAUUCCAUCAUCUCUCUUAUUGUUACUAUGCCAAGUCACAUGAGGGGCCGAACUCAUCGAUGCAUACAAUCAUUUCAGUCAAGGGACUAUGGGUAUGUAGUGCAUCCGUUUCAUAUGAAUUAUCUUUUUCUGGUAUUUAACGAUCUAUUCUCUCUCAACUUGAAACCUCAAUGAUCUAUAAAAUCUGCAUUCAGUUUGGUCUGUAUCCGUCUUGUAGUACAGCAUACAACCAAUUAGACAACAAUCAAUUUUCACCGCAUUUAGACCCAACUUUGAAAUUAGCUUCUUUGCUUCGUAGUGGUUUCAAAGAAUGCCAGUAGACUCGAUAGACACCAGUUCGUUGCAAAGGGUAGCCCACUUAUCAAAGGACUCUUGGGUAUGAAUUGACUCUGAUUUAAUACUCAUCAUCCUAACACAUGUAGACAACUUUGAAUGAACACACUCCUCGUACAAAGGUUUCGCAGCAGAUUCUAACAGAUGAUAAAAUGUCUUCGCUUCUAGGUUAGGCUCUUCUUCAGCCUCUUCCAAUUCCGUAACAUCUGUUGCAUCACAUACCAUCUCAUUGUAUCUCUCUUGGUUAGCCUCUCAAGUCAUGACAUCCAUGUUUAGGUCUCUUGACACCCAAACCCUCAUUAGACAACCAGAUCUAUUCAAAUUAGAGGCAGACUCGGUAAUUCCCUACUCGCCCACUUCUCCAUGUUCUGUCCACAUCCAAUACGCAUCCUUGAACCCGUUACAGUAGAGGUGAAGCGUUAUGUCCACCGAUCCUAACCAUUUAGUCAGUCGACACUUUUGACACGAACACCUAAAAACCUCUUCAGACAUAAACGGUUUCAUGCUGAAAACAUGCACGACAAAUGCAUCAACCGCCCUCAAAGAAUUCCAGUUUUAAACUUUACUAAACUUACCAUGAGUUGAUGACACAUUGGUUUGUUUUUCAGCAAUGAUAAAACAGUACGUGGUAUAUCAGCAUCUGAGAUACUUCUUGUGGCUAUGAACAAGAACACAGAAACAAGAUCAGUGGAAGUUCUCGUCUCAACUCAACCACUGAUUAAAAGUAGACAAGAAAAGAAAUUCAACAUUCAAAGUAAAUAGACAUACAAAAUAAAAUAUCCAGCUUACCAUAUCUGAAGAAACCAUUAACAAAGGAAAAAAAAUGAGUGACAGGAAAUAAAAGAAGAUAAAAAUAAAUCAAACUAAUCAAUCGGGGGAAUACUAUUGCUCUCCGAAGAAAGUAGAGUGCGGCCAUCCUUAAACUCUAAAUCAUAAAUCUUAAAUCAUAGUUUCUGAAUCGAAACUCUAAAUUUUGAACUCUAAAUGCUAAAUCCUAAUCUCUAAACCCUUAAAUUCUAAAUUUUAAACUCUAAAUCUGAGCUAUUGAUACAAAUAUAAUAGAUGGAGAGCUAAGAGUUGUUUAAUAAAUAAGAAGGAUAGUUUAAGGAUGAGCUAAUCAAUAGGCCUGAGCCUAUUACAAGCUUUGAAAAUACCAAAUGCGUCGUAUUUGAAAUUUAAUCACAGCAUUAGCAAUGCAAAAAUGCAUAAACUAGUAAAAUCAAGUAUCAUCUCAAUAACGAAAACAUAACGAAAGAAAAACAACAGGAAGGAAGGGAAACGAAAAAUAACAAGUAAUUACAUUUAACGGAGAAGAAGAGUACCAAAAUGUGUAGACGAAGAGUGAAGCGGGAGAGGGGUAGGGUCAGGGUCAGGGAGAGGAGAGAGAAGUGCUCAUUGUCUCUUUGAAACAUAGCUUCCAGGAAUGGGAUUUGGAUUGAGAGAAGAAGAUGGAGGAGAAGUUGGAGGAAAAUAGGGUUUUGGAGGGUAAGAAGAAGAAGAAGACGAGAGUGAGAGCCUCUGACGUUUGGGUUGAUCUUCGUCGUCUGAGGCAUGGUAAUAUGCGUCGCGCAGAAGAUCCAUAUGGUGUCUGUGUCACAAAAAAUGAAGCAGCCAAGCGUGGCAGGGAACUUCGCCAGCGCAAAGGAGGUGCGUCCGGGGUUAACCGUCAACAACGAGAAGAAAGAUUCUGUUGAUUCUUGAUACCGACGGCUAGGAUUGCAAAGAACCCACCAAUAAGGCCCAAAACCAGAACGACGCUUAGCUCAAGGUCAAGGUCAGGCCCUAUCACCAAAAUUAAAAUGAAAAGGUCAUGCCCAAGUUCCCAACACAAUAAAUGGGCUAGCCUAAAAUUGGAGUUUUAUCUAUUUUUUAAAUAAAAAAUAAAC